rnacentral:rRNA from 1 species
GGAGGGCAAGUCUGGUGCCAGCAGCCGCGGUAAUUCCAGCUCCAAUAGCGUAUACUAAAGUUGUUGCAGUUAAAAAGCUCGUAGUCGAACGUGUGGCGUGCGCGCGGGUCCGUCGGGGGGCGAAUGCCCGUCGAGCAGCGACUCGCGCGGUGCCAGUCUGGCACUUGUUGAAGGUGCCUCUUUCACUGUAAAAAAAUUAGGGUGUUUCAAGCAAAGGU